ensembl:lncRNA
AUUCAUGAAGGAGGUGAAUGUUGGGGCACAACGAAACGAGCCGCUGCUCCAAACACUCGUCUCUCUUUCACCUGUGGCCCACCAGACGGCAGAACCGGUGUGUGAGCACAGACAGCACCAGAAUAACCCGGCUCUUCCCGUCUGCAGCUGUUCUCUGUAAUGCUGAGGAUCCAGCAGGUGUGUGUAACUCCUCAACAGGUCAUUCAUUUUCAUAUUUACUGACCUGAGCUUCAUUACCUGCUCGUUCCCCUUGCUUUUUGAUUCCUACUGUUUCUUUGAAAGCAAUUACAGAACAAUAGUAUGUGUAAUUAAAGCAUAAUCAUGUAAUGUGAGGCCACGGCUUCACUCAGAGACAAUUAAAACACACACAAACACACACACACACACACACACACGCAUGCACACACACACAAAGAAAUCGCUCGCUCUUUCAGUUCAGGUGUAAAAAAAGCACCUGUAGGCUUCAUUAACGUACACUAAUGGCGCACGUUUGUGCUUUUCUGAUUCAUAUUGUGUCAAACUCUAGUGUACACAUCUAUUUCGGUCACCUCUGAAUCACAAUGAGCUUGAAAUCUGUGACCGAGGCGUUUUAGCAGCACACAGUUGGGUUAAAUUAAAGCUGCACUUCCGUGUCUAAUCAUCACGUUUACUGAUGACUAAAGAUCCCAGCAGAAGGUGACUAUUAAUAACAGCCCAGCAACAGAUAGUGACAGAUAAUAGAUGGGUUUUAUUGGAGAUAAUAAUAAUUGUGCUAUUGUUUUAAAAGCAUAUUGUAAAUAAGUGCAAGUUUCCCACAACACCAAAAAGAUCUUCAUUCUAGACGUUUCCAUGACUUUUCCUGCUCUGGAAAUCCAUAUUUUUAAAAUUCUCUAGAUUUUCGUGCUAGUGUUCCAUAAACUGUAUAUAAUAAUAAUAAACAUGGCAAAAUUAUAUUAUUGGUUGCUUGU